CAACUUGAGAGUUUGAUCCUGGCUCAGAACGAACGCUGGCGGCAGGCUUAACACAUGCAAGUCGAACGCCCUCUUCGGAGGGAGUGGCAGACGGGUGAGUAACGCGUGGGAACCUACCUUUAGGUACGGAAUAACAGUUAGAAAUGACUGCUAAUACCGUAUGUGCCCGAGAGGGGAAAGAUUUAUCGCCUAAAGAUGGGCCCGCGUUGGAUUAGCUAGUUGGUGAGGUAACGGCUCACCAAGGCGACGAUCCAUAGCUGGUUUGAGAGGAUGAUCAGCCACACUGGGACUGAGACACGGCCCAGACUCCUACGGGAGGCAGCAGUGGGGAAUAUUGGACAAUGGGGGAAACCCUGAUCCAGCCAUGCCGCGUGAGUGAUGAAGGCCUUAGGGUUGUAAAGCUCUUUCGCUGGGGAAGAUAAUGACGGUACCCAGUAAAGAAGCCCCGGCUAACUUCGUGCCAGCAGCCGCGGUAAUACGAAGGGGGCUAGCGUUGUUCGGAAUUACUGGGCGUAAAGCGCACGUAGGCGGGUAUUUAAGUCAGGGGUGAAAUCCCGGAGCUCAACUCCGGAACUGCCUUUGAUACUGGAUACCUUGAGUUCGAGAGAGGUGAGUGGAAUUCCGAGUGUAGAGGUGAAAUUCGUAGAUAUUCGGAGGAACACCAGUGGCGAAGGCGGCUCACUGGCUCGAUACUGACGCUGAGGUGCGAAAGCGUGGGG
rnacentral:rRNA from 1 species